UACAGAGGGUGCAAGCGUUAAUCGGAAUUACUGGGCGUAAAGCGUGCGUAGACGGUUAUGUAAGUCGGGUGUGAAAGCCCCGGGCUCAACCUGGGAAUGCCAUUCGAGACUGCAUAGCUAGGGUGCGGAAGAGGGAAGCGGAAUUUCCGGUGUAGCGGUGAAAUGCGCAGAUAUCAGGAGGAACACCGGUGGCGAAGGCGGGUCUCUGGGCCGAUACUGACGCUGAGGAGCGAAAGCGUGGGGAGCGAACAGG
rnacentral:rRNA from 1 species